rnacentral:lncRNA from 1 species
CAGACCCACCGAGCAGGCGUUUAUUGUUGUGUGAGGACACCACAUCCACAUAGCACAGAGAAGAAUCUGUGUUAACAGACUAAUGGUUGGCAAGUUAACUUAAGACGCCACGAUGUGUUCAACCCAAAACUACAUUUCCCAGUGACAUUGUACCCG